rnacentral:lncRNA from 1 species
GGGGGAGGCACUUACGGCAAAGUGUACAGAGCGAGAGAGAAAGCUACGGGUCUCAUCGUCGCUUUGAAGAAGACUCGUCUCCACGAAGACGAAGAAGGCGUUCCUCCCACCACUCUCUGCGAGAUCUCCAUCCUCCGCAUGCUCGGUCGCGAUCCCUACAUCGUCAAGUUUUGAUUACUCUUUCCUGUAGAGCAGUCAACCACAAGAACAACAAAAGGGCAGUAAAUUUUCAUGGAAAAUCCAGGAAAAGGAUUCGAAUUUUUGUCGUGAAACUCACAUGUUAUCUUGAUUGAAAGAAGCAUAGUAGAUAGAGGAUGGAGAGGAUUGACAGCUGAGUCGCCAAAUUGUGAAAGAAGAUCUCUGUUUC